ACUAUUAGGGAUAUGAUAAAUUUUAAGUUUCAAAUAACAUACAACCCUCCAUUUUUCUCACCCAAGAACGCCAACCAAUCUUCAUUCAAGGGAAAAUGACCAAAAAUUUGAAGAUCUGUAGAAAUGGGAGAAGAUUGAUUGAUCCUUUUUUUUAUUUUUUAUUGCAGAAACAAGAAAUGAUGGAAAAUUUUCCCAUUUAGCCUUGAAGGAAGAAGGGUUUGAAUAUCCAGGAAAGCAAAGUGUUUAGCUUUUUAUUUGGGUAGCUCCGCAGCUCCUACCUUUUGGUUGAAGUGUGAGUAUAUUUCUAUUGAAGAAAAAAAAGUUUAUGAUGUCAUUUACUUUAGUAUCCAUAAAGUCUUUAAGUUUGAAUUCCAAAACUCGAAAGAUUGAAACUCUUUUAUUUUUUAAGUUUCGUUUUUUCCUUGUAAAAUAAAAAGAUUGAAUUUUGAUUCAGUAUACAAUUUGAUAUAUGAACUUUAAUUUGGUUGUGGUUCAAA